rnacentral:rRNA from 1 species
UACGGAGGGUGCAAGCGUUGUCCGGAAUCACUGGGCGUAAAGGGCGCGUAGGCGGCCUGGUAAGUAGGGGGUGAAAUCCUGCGGCUUAACCGCAGGGCUGCCUUCUAAACUGUCAGGCUUGAGCACGGUAGAGGCAGAUGGAAUUCCCGGUGUAGCGGUGGAAUGCGUAGAGAUCGGGAAGAACAUCAGUGGCGAAGGCGGUCUGCUGGGCCGAUACUGACGCUGAGGAGCGAAAGCAUGGGUAGCGAACAGG